CCUACGGGAGGCAGCAGUGAGGAAUAUUGGUCAAUGGGAGAGAUCCUGAACCAGCCAAGCCGCGUGAGGGAAGACGGCCCUACGGGUUGUAAACUUCUUUUGUCAGGGAGCAAUUGGGUCCACGCGUGGGCCUAGCGAGAGUACCUGAAGAAAAAGCAUCGGCUAACUCCGUGCCAGCAGCCGCGGUAAUACGGGGGAUGCGAGCGUUAUCCGGAUUUAUUGGGUUAAAAGGGUGCGUAGGUGGCAUAUCAAGUCAGCGGUAAAGAUUCGGGGCUCAACGCCGUCGUGCCGUUGAAACUGAUGUUCUUGAGUGGGCGAGAGGGAUGCGGAAUGCGUGGUGUAGCAGUGAAAUGCAUAGAUAUCACGCAGAACUCCGAUUGCGAAGGCAGCAUACCGGCGCCCAACUGACGCUGAAGCACGAAGGCGUGGGUAUCGAACGGGAUUAGAUACCCCAGUAGUC
rnacentral:rRNA from 1 species